rnacentral:rRNA from 1 species
CCCCCUGUCCCCUGCAGAAUUAAUGGCGACGACGCCAUGGCUCGCAGCAAGCAACAAUGGUAGCAAAAAAUACAAUUGGUUCCAGCAAACUGAAACGCAAGUGGUAGCAAACAAUAGAAAAUUUGGUGCUUGUUCCAGCAACCCAAAAAUGCCCAUGGUAGCAAAAACUGGAGCCGGUUCCAGCAAAUCAAAAUGCCGGUGGUAGCAAAUUUGCAAUAAUUUGGUGUUCAUUCCAGCAAAACAAAAAAUUGCGUGGUAGCAAAGAACAAACACAGUUCCAGCAAAAAAUGUUGCCGGUUCCAGCAAAAAAAACAUGUCGUCGGCGACGAUCGCAACAAAACAUCUCACUAAUCCGGCAAAAAAACUUGCUGAUUGUAGCAAAACAAAAAUUCGACGCCAGGAACAAAUGGACUGGUCGUCCGAUUGCAAACGCUGGUCGAUGUGGAUGCAGCUUUUUUGCCGGCCGGUUCCAGCAAAAAAGCCAGCCGGUUGUAGCACCGGAGUGCGUCGUCUCCAUCGCUGCCAAGCUGGUUGCAGCUUUUCACCGGUAUGGUUCCAGCUAAAAAGCCAGCCGGUUGUAGCACCGGAGCGCGUCGUCUCCAUCGCCUGCAAGCUGGUUGCAGCUUUUCACCGGCAUGGUUCCAGCAAAAAAGCUAGCCGGUUGUAGCACCGGAGCGCGUCAUCUCCAUCACCGGCAACUGCUAGAUUGCAGCACCGAUGGAUUGCUGCUCAGCGCCAUGGCUAUUUCAUCUGUGCCUCGAAGCACCACCAUUUUCCGAAAUUGUCCCAUGG